rnacentral:rRNA from 1 species
CCUACGGGUGGCAGCAGUCGAGAAUCAUUCACAAUGGGGGAAACCCUGAUGGUGCGACGCCGCGUGGGGGAAUGAAGGUCUUCGGAUUGUAAACCCCUGUCAUGUGGGAGCAAAUUAAAAAGAUCGUACCACAAGAGGAAGAGACUGCUAACUCUGUGCCAGCAGCCGCGGUAAUACAGAGGUCUCAAGCGUUGUUCGGAAUCACUGGGCGUAAAGCGUGCGUAGGCUGUUUCGUAAGUCUUGUGUGAAAGGCGCGGGCUCAACCCGCGGACGGCACAUGAUACUGCGAGACUAGAGUAAGGGAGGGGGAACCGGAAUUCGCGGUGUAGCAGUGAAAUGCGUAGAUAUCGAGAGGAACACUCGUGGCGAAGGCGGGUUCCUGGACAGUAACUGACGCUGAGGCACGAAGGCCAGGGGAGCGAAAGGGAUUAGAUACCCGUGUAGUC